GUGGUGGUUGUUCAGUGGUAGGAUUCACGCCUUCUAUGCAGGAGACUUGGGUUCAAUUCCCGGCCAAUACA
rnacentral:tRNA from 1 species